GGGAAUAGGAUGUGACGGUAGGUAGCCAUAGGUAGCAUUGUUUUUUUUUUCUUUUAUUUCUUUGAGAAAAGAAGAAGUGGAUUAGGUGGGAGUCUUGGGAGGAGUCACGCAGUUGCUGGAAGGUGCACACGUUGAUGAGGAAAAAUGGUGAUUGAUUUUUGGAAGUUGCAUCUAGCAGCAAGGACUCACGUGAUUCACUUUAUUGAAGCAUUGGGUUUUCUUUUCUUUUAUGCUGAAACCGAGAAGGAAGAACCUGGUCUCUUAUCCUCU
rnacentral:lncRNA from 1 species